UACCAGACUCCUACGGGAGGCAGCAGUGAGGAAUAUUUGUCAAUGGGCGGGAGCCUGAACCAGCCAAGUCGCGUGAGGGAUGACGGCCCUAUGGGUUGUAAACCUCUUUUGCCGGGGAGCAAAGUGCCGCACGUGUGCGGUUUGGAGAGUACCCGGAGAAAAAGCAUCGGCUAACUCCGUGCCAGCAGCCGCGGUAAUACGGAGGAUGCGAGCGUUAUCCGGAUUUAUUGGGUUUAAAGGGUGCGUAGGCGGACGCUUAAGACAGCGGUAAAAUUGCGGGGCUCACCCGCGUCGAGCCGUUGAAACUGGGUGCCUUGAGUGGGCGAGAAGUACGCGGAAUGCGUGGUGUAGCGGUGAAAUGCAUAGAUAUCACGCAGAACGCCGAUUGCGAAGGCAGCUUACCGGCGCUCAACUGACGCUGAGGCACGAAAGUGCGGGUAUCGAGCAGGAUUAGAUACCCGUGUA
rnacentral:rRNA from 1 species